rnacentral:misc_RNA from 1 species
AAGCAAUGCAGAGGUGGUUUUGUCAUUAACUGAAGUUGAAUUAGCACCCAAUUCAAAACUGUAACUGGUUAUUAAUAUGCAACUUUAGGAUUUGAGAUGAAAAACAUGGAUUUAUCUGGUGUUUCUAAGAGCUUAAAUAAGACUACUGUUAUCUUCCAAUUUACAUAAGAUCCUUUACACUUCUGACAAUCAGAUUCAAUAUACAAAUUAAUAUAUAGAAAUCCCAUAUUUUUGGUUUUGGGAUAGCAAAGGAAUGAGUCUAGCUUUCGCAUAACCAUCAACACCCAUGCUCGUGAAUGAAAACGAUCCAAGAUCUCAUACCAGCUUAUUUCAGACUAUAAGAAUUUAAGUGUGAUAAAUCAUGCUAGGUUUUAUACUAUUGUCACCUCCCUACAGGAUAAGGAGCAAGCAAUCUUGUUGCG